rnacentral:tRNA from 1 species
GGUGGCUCAGUGGUAGAGCACUUGCCUUGCAUGCAUGAAUCCCUGGGUUCGAUUCCGGAGCACCA